rnacentral:rRNA from 1 species
AGUGAACGCUGGCGGUAGGCCUAACACAUGCAAGUCGAACGGCAGCACAGUAAGAGCUUGCUCUUACGGGUGGCGAGUGGCGGACGGGUGAGGAAUAUAACGGAAUCUACUUUUUCGUGGGGGUUAACGUAGGGAAACUUACGAUAAUACCGCAUACGACCUACGGGUGAAAGCAGGGGAUCUUCGGACCUUGCGCGAUUGAAUGAGCCGAUGUCGGAUUAGCUAGUUGGGGGGGUAAUGGCCAACCAAGGCGACGAUCCGUAGCUGGUCUGAGAGGAGGGUCACCCACAUUGGAACUGAGACACGGACCAUGCGCCUACGGGAGGGAGCAGUGGGGAAUAUUGGACAAUGGGCGCAAGCCUGAUCCAGCGAUACCGCGUGGGUGAAGAAGGCCUUCGGGUUGUAAAGCCGUUUUGUUGGGAGAGAGAAGCAGCAGGUUAAUACCCCGCGGUUCUGACGGUACCCAAAGAAUAAGCACCGGCUAACUUCGUG